rnacentral:rRNA from 1 species
UACGUAGGGGGCAAGCGUUGUCCGGAAUUAUUGGGCGUAAAGCGCGCGCAGGCGGUCCUUUAAGUCUGAUGUGAAAGCCCACGGCUUAACCGUGGAGGGUCAUUGGAAACUGGAGGGCUUGAGUACAGAAGAGGAGAGUGGAAUUCCACGUGGAGCGGUGAAAUGCGUAGAGAUGUGGAGGAACACCAGUGGCGAAGGCGACUCUCUGGUCUGUAACUGACGCUGAGGCGCGAAAGCGUGGGUAGCGAAC